GACGAACGCUGGCGGCGUGCUUAACACAUGCAAGUCGAACGGAAAGGCCCUGCUUGCCGGGUACUCGAGUGGCGAACGGGUGAGUAACACGUGGGUGAUCUGCCCUGCACUUCGGGAUAAGCCUGGGAAACUGGGUCUAAUACCGGAUAGGAGCCAUUUUUAGUGUGAUGGUUGGAAAGUUUUUUCGGUGUAGGAUGAGCUCGCGGCCUAUCAGCUUGUUGGUGGGGUAAUGGCCUACCAAGGCGGCGACGGGUAGCCGGCCUGAGAGGGUGGACGGCCACAUUGGGACUGAGAGACGGCCCAGACUCCUACGGGAGGCAGCAGUGGGGAAUAUUGCACAAUGGGCGCAAGCCGGAUGCAGCGACGCCGCGGGGGGGAUGACGGCCUUCGGGUUGUAAACUCCUUUCGCUAGGGACGAAGCUUUUUGUGACGGUACCUAGAGAAGAAGCACCGGCUAACUACGUG
rnacentral:rRNA from 1 species